GUGUUCAAAUUUACCGCCAGAUGUUAUAGGCGCAUGUUUCCAAACUGCGUAGUCACUGUGACGGGGUUAAAUCCUCGGGCAAAGUACAUGCUGAUGAUGGAGAUGGUCUAGUCUGAUGAUAACAAAUACAAGGUAGGCCUACCUCACGUACCCCUCUCAGCAUUAAUAUUUAUUUCUAUUUUGUUAUCUAUUGGCUACCAUGUUUCACAAACAGUUGCAGGGUAGGGAUUGUGUUUAUAGAGAUUGAUAAGCUUUUACUAAUGUAUGCUUGUAUAAUAACUGCGUAAGGUGCUUUAGUUACUGUGUAAUCCAUGUAUAUUGACACUAUACAUCUGUCCUGUACAGUGGAGCAGGGAUCACUGGGUAGUGAGUGGUAUGACUGAGCCCCACCUUUCCAACCGCUUCUUCAUCCAACCAAACUCACCCGCCCUGGGAGAGAGAUGGAUGCAGUGCCCAGUCUCUUUCCACAAGCAAACUCACCCGCCCUGGGAUAGAGGUGGAUGCAGUGCCCAGUCUCUUUCCACAACCAAACUCACCCGCCCUGGGAUAGAGGUGGAUGCAGUGCCCAGUCUCUUUCCACAACCAAACUCACCCGCCCUGGGAGAGAGAUGGAUGCAGUGCCCAGUCUCUUUCCACAAGCAAACUCACCCGCCCUGGGAUAGAGGUGGAUGCAGUGCCCAGUCUCUUUCCACAAGCAAACUCACCCGCCCUGGGAUAGAGGUGGAUGCAGUGCCCAGUCUCUUUCCACAAGCAAACUCACCCGCCCUGGGAUAGAGGUGGAUGCAGUGCCCAGUCUCUUUCCACAAGCAAACUCACCCGCCCUGGGAUAGAGGUGGAUGCAGUGCCCAGUCUCUUUCCACAAGCAAACUCACCCGCCCUGGGAUAGAGGUGGAUGCAGUGCCCAGUCUCUUUCCACAAGCAAACUCACCCGCCCUGGGAUAGAGGUGGAUGCAGUGCCCAGUCUCUUUCCACAACCAAACUCACCCGCCCUGGGAGAGAGAUGGAUGCAGUGCCCAGUCUCUUUCCACAACCAAACUCACCCGCCCUGGGAUAGAGGUGGAUGCAGUGCCCAGUCUCUUUCCACAAGCAAACUCACCCGCCCUGGGAUAGAGGUGGAUGCAGUGCCCAGUCUCUUUCCACAAGCAAACUCACCCGCCCUGGGAUAGAGGUGGAUGCAGUGCCCAGUCUCUUUCCACAACCAAACUCACCCGCCCUGGGAGAGAGGUGGAUGCAGUGCCCAGUCUCUUUCCACAACCAAACUCACCCGCCCUGGGAUAGAGGUGGAUGCAGUGCCCAGUCUCUUUCCACAAGCAAACUCACCCGCCCUGGGAUAGAGGUGGAUGCAGUGCCCAGUCUCUUUCCACAAGCAAACUCACCCGCCCUGGGAUAGAGGUGGAUGCAGUGCCCAGUCUCUUUCCACAAGCAAACUCACCCGCCCUGGGAUAGAGGUGGAUGCAGUGCCCAGUCUCUUUCCACAACCAAACUCACCCGCCCUGGGAGAGAGAUGGAUGCAGUGCCCAGUCUCUUUCCACAACCAAACUCACCCGCCCUGGGAUAGAGGUGGAUGCAGUGCCCAGUCUCUUUCCACAAGCAAACUCACCCGCCCUGGGAUAGAGGUGGAUGCAGUGCCCAGUCUCUUUCCACAACCAAACUCACCAACACCCCCAACUCCAAUAGCCUGGUUCAGAGAAAAGGAAGGACAGAGCUCUGACAAACUAAAUGUAAGAACGCCUGACGGAAUCAAAACCUUCAAAUGGUAGUCAAAGGACCCACAACAACCACAAACACAACACACUUCGUACCUGGGCCUAUGACCGCCCUGGGCAGCAUAAGGAGGCCAGGAUAAUGGUUUACCAAAUGUUGCCUCUCCUCUCUUCCUCACACACCCUCCACUGGGCCAGACUCAGUUGGCUUCAGGAGGCCCCUGGCACAGAGCAGCAGACCAGUGGGGCCUCACCCACCUCACCACAGAAGACCUUAGUGCCACACCUCUCCCACAGCAACCACUACCAGGUGCACCAGAAAACAGCCCCAGCAGGCUGAGUAUAAUUAGUAAAGGGAACUAAUAAUAUGCAUCACGUCAGAACUAGAACUCAGUAUGUCACAUAUUCUCCCCUUUUCUCUGGACAUUGUAAAUCAUGUGAGAUUUUGUGCAAGAUGUACCUGUACAUGCAGAAGAACAGUGGCUUAUCAAAUAAUAGAACAUGAUAAUUAGACUCCUGAUGUUUUGAUGUUAACAUUAGCCCAUCCGUUAGUGUCUGUAUCGUCAUGCCAGAAGAGUUGGCUACAUCCACUACAGCACUACACGGUAUGGAAGGGGGAUAAUGUAACAGGCCACUGGUAACAAAUUCUCUGAAAGAAUACUGAGGAAACUGUAUGAGGCAGACAUUUAUUAUAGGGCAGCACAUAACACUUUGCCACAGAGUCGAGGAUAUGAGUGUGAUGUUCACAUGCUGAAAUAUCCAUGCUAGAUCAGUUUUCCAGUAUUAUUUAACAGUCUAGAAAAUGGACGAAUUCACACAAACAUUUAUUGAGUCUGAAUAGAUACAUUUCAAUAAUGGGUGAUCAAUCUAAACAUGUUUCAUUACAGAUACUCUAUAGAUAAAGAUACAAGUUAAAAGGCAUACAAUGUUUGGUCUUCCACCUACAUUCUAGAUCCGAAAGGUAUAUUUUCUGAUCUGAAAGUUGCUUCUACCCUGCUGAAAUUACACCAUCCAUUCAUAGUAAUACAUGAGACAUUUUUGAAAGAGUAUUGACACAAAAAUUAGACGCCAAAAAAGAACAUGCAAUGGGAGUUUUUCAGCUGAACAAAAACACAAUUUGACCAGGGAAAGCCAUCAAUAUGUCCAGAUAGAAAUGUUGAUGUGUUCUGACUUUAUACAAUUCAAAUCAGCCAUUUCAUGAAACACAAUACAGGUUCCCAUCUACAUUUACAGUACUGUAUCACACUGUUGAUCAAUCAAAUUUUACGGUCUAGUCUACUACUAUGUAAAUCUUACACGCGGAGAUUAUAAUAAAAUAAAUACAGUAUUCUUUUGGUGAUCAGUAGGGAUUAGAUAAUGACAUUUCUCCCCCAGACCAGAGAUAUACCACAGUUGGCAGCAGGUUGACAUUACUGUAAAAAAAUGACAUAUUAGAAAAAAUGAUGCUGAGGUCACGGAUUCAGAAAGUGGUUAGAUCUCCCCUAAAACGCUAAAACAAGUUUUCAUAAAAUGAAGCUAAUAUAAAAUGAACUCCACAACAAGACAGUCCAACUCAAAUGUGUGGCAAAACAAACUGAAAUGUAUUCUUGUGUUUGAAGCAAUUUGGGUAAGGAAUGUGGAGAAAGCUGAUACAUGAUUGGAUGGUCAACAGGUCGUGGCAGCAUU